ACCGAAUAGAUACCCCGGUAGUCCACGCCCUAAACUAUGUCAACUAGUUGUUGGGAGAGUUAAAUCUCUUAGUAAACGCAGCUAAACGCGUGAAGUUGACCGCCUGGGGAGUACGGCCGCAAGGUUAAAACUCAAAGGAAUUGACGGGGACCCGCACAAGCGGUGGAUUAUGUGGAUUAAUUCGAUGCAACGCGAAAAACCUUACCUACCCUUGACAUGUACGGAACGGGGCAGAGACGUCCCGGUGCCCGAAAGGGAACCGUAACACAGGUGCUGCAUGGCUGUCGUCAGCUCGUGUCGUGAGAUGUUGGGUUAAAGUCCCGCAACGAGCGCAACCCUUACCAUUAGUUGCUACAUUCAGUUGGGCACUCUAAUGGGACUGCCGGUGACAAACCGGAGGAAGGUGGGGAUGACGUCAAGUCCUCAUGGCCCUUAUGGGUAGGGCUUCACACGUAAUACAAUGGCCGGUACAGAGGGUUGCCAACCCGGCGAGGGGGAGCCAAUCCCAGAAAGCCGGUCGUAGUCCGGAUUGUUCUCUGCAACUCGAGAGCAUGAAGUCGGAAUCGCUAGUAA
rnacentral:rRNA from 1 species